rnacentral:misc_RNA from 1 species
AAUCAAUCUCAACUAACACCUUGUGUGUGAGUUGGAUAUGGGGGUCUGCUGUGUUCACAGCUCCUCCUAAAUAUGUUAGCCGUUGGGUGAUGAACCGCUGUAGGCUUGAUAUCAUGUCUAUGCUGCAGUUGUACAUGUUCCUUGGCUUAUAAUCGUCUUUGGACAAUGAG